ensembl:lncRNA novel transcript
AAUUCUUCUCUUAAUAAAUACUUACUGAAAACCAAGCAUGCGUUAGGCACACUAGUACAUUAAAAAGUGGUGAAUGAGAAAGUAAAGGCAUUUAUUUUAACACUAGAAGAGUUCAAGAAUAAUGGCAGGAAAAUAUAUGAUAUCUCUGGAGGAAACCAUCCAUUGAAGCUCACAUAAAAAAAGACGAGAAGGACAGAGUUAGCUGGUUCACAUCACUUUAAUCAUAGAACCAUCCUUAGGUGAUUUUUGGGAAAUAUUAUCUCGCAGUGCUAGCUCUUUGUGGAAUCACAAAUGAAAAACAUGAAGGGGAGAAAUUUCUUUCCUUUUGGGGAAGAAAGUGCAGCUAAGGCAGAGAAUAAGAAACAGAGAUGAGAAAGGAAAUAACAGACAUGACGUGAGACAAGAAAUGAGACUGAAAGGGAAAGAAUAAUUUAGAAAGUAUAUACAGUGUCUCCUGUGGGUACUCCAGACAUCAAAAAGAAGAAUAUAAUAUAUUUCAGGGCUUGAUAUUACUGAAUAGUCAGAACAGCCACAAACUGCUGUCAGCAAUUUAGCAGAGACGCUAUAUCAAGGACAAAAUCCACACCCACAACCUUAUACUCAACCAAAUUGCAUGCAAUUGCCUAUGACAAGUCUUUGUUGGAAUCCUCUUAUCAUGGCAAACAUCCUCAGUACUCUAAAUAGUGUCAAAAAGGAAAAAAAAAAAGAAAAAACUGCUGAGCCUAGAGCACAAAUUUUCUGU